GAUGAACGCUGGCGGCGUGCCUAAUACAUGCAAGUAGAACGCUGAAGGAGGAGCUUGCUCUUCUGGAUGAGUUGCGAACGGGUGAGUAACGCGUAGGUAACCUGCCUGGUAGCGGGGGAUAACUAUUGGAAACGAUAGCUAAUACCGCAUGACAACAGUUAUUGCAUGAUAACUGUUUAAAAGUGGCAACUGCUCCACUACCAGAUGGACCUGCGUUGUAUUAGCUAGUUGGUGAGGUAACGGCUCACCAAGGCGACGAUACAUCGCCGACCUGAGAGGGUGGUCGGCCACACUGGGACUGAGACACGGCCCAGACUGCUACGGGAGGGAGCAGGAGGGAAUCGUCGGCAAUGGGCGGAAAUCUGACCGAACAACGCCGCGGGAGGGAAGAAGGGUGUCGGGUCGGAAAGCUCUGUUGUAAGGGAAGAACGAGUGUGAGAGUGGAAAGUUCACACUGUGACGGUAUCUGACCAGAAAGGGACGGCUAACUACGUG
rnacentral:rRNA from 1 species